rnacentral:rRNA from 1 species
ACGGGGCCCGCACAAGCGGCGGAGCAUGCGGAUUAAUUCGAUGCAACGCGAAGAACCUUACCAAGGCUUGACAUACACCGGUAACGCCCAGAGAUGGGUGCCCCUUUGUGGUCGGUGGACAGGUGGUGCAUGGUUGUCGUCAGCUCGUGUCGUGAGAUGUUGGGUUAAGUCCCGCAACGAGCGCAACCCUCGUCCUAUGUUGCCAGCGGGUCAUGCCGGGGACUCAUGGGAGACUGCCGGGGUCAACUCGGAGGAAGGUGGGGAUGACGUCAAAUCAUCAUGCCCCUUAUGUCUUGGGCUUCACGCAUGCUACAAUGGCCGGUACAAAGGGCUGCGAUACCGCGAGGUGGAGCGAAUCCCAGAAAGCCGGUCUCAGUUCGGAUUGGGGUCUGCAACUCGACCCCAUGAAGUCGGAGUCGCUAGUAAUCGCAGAUCAGCAACGCUGCGGUGAAUACGUUCCCGGGCCUU